UUUUUGUUACGAGCUUAUUAUACACUCUAUAGCAUAGCAUAUCUCUCCUCUUGUUUUUAUACCAUGGCGAAACAAGUUCAUCAACUGGAACCAUAGAAAUGUUGUUUAUAGCAAGAUGACCUUUGGUAGAGCAUAAAUUUACUAUAGAGGUUGGUCUGCAUUUGAAGAUGGCCUAUCACUGCCUUACUACUACAUCGAGACUAAGUGAUGGAUACUUCAAUUGUUGUGAGAAUGAGAAUGUAUUUUUUUUAUUGUG
rnacentral:lncRNA from 1 species